CCUAACACAACACAGUCGUCCAUCUAAACUGACAGACUAAGCAAGGAGAGCAUUCAUCAGAGCUGCAAAGAUUCACAACUCAGAUGGAACAGUCUUUUGGCAACUAUUAGUCGUCCACUCCACAAAUCUGGACUUUAUUCAAGAAAGUAGGAAUGCUCCGAUCAGGAUCGCGGGGGAGCUGGUGCCUAAUAUCUCCAGUACUCUACUGGUGAGAGGAGGGGUACACCCUGGACAGGUCGCCAGUCCAUCACAAGGCAACACCCAGGACAAGCAACAUGAUUGUCCGAAGGCCAAUUUAGAGGGACCAAUUCACCUAACAGUCAUGUUUUUGGACUGCUGGAGGAAGCUGGAGAACCCGGAGAGAACCCACGCAUGCACAGGGAGAACAUGGAGAAAGACCCCCAGCUGGGAGUCAAACCAAGGACCUUUUUGCUGCAAGGCAACAGUGCUACCAACUAUGCCACCAUGCAGCCCGUAACAUUUCCUUUCCACUUCAAUACUAAGAACGAAUACUUUGUCAAAUAUUUGAUGACAGAGAGAAAUUGCUCAAUGCUGUUGCAUAAUUAUUAAGUAGCCUGACAGGAAUGAACUCUACUACAUAAUUUAACUCAACAGGUUUACGUCCAGAACAUAAAACUAACUCGACAGGGAAAGAAAUCAGAAGGUUGAUUUCUGACUUUUACUUAAGACUGCAUAGAAAAUCUUUGCAUCUGGCCUAUUCAGAUAAUACUACAAUUCAAUCUAAAAAAAUAAGAAAAUUGUUUUUAAAGGAUAAAUUAAUUGGUCAUUACGAUACAUCUUUAUGAAAAUCAAGGAUUUCUGUUUGUGUGUGAAACAAAACAUAGAUCAAGAAUAAAUAAAAAGUAUGCAGAUUAAAACUCAGAAAAAAAGGAAAGGAUGGAAAAUAAAGAAUAGCAGGCCUUCCUGUAUCAGCUAGACAAGAGCAAGACGGCCAAAGCCAUGCCAAAUUACUUGGAUAAAUCCUUUCAUCUGUUAUCAGAGGGCAGGAAGAUAACCCCCCCUCUCCUUUUUCUAAAUCGUACACUAACCCACAUUUGUCUUUUGUAGAAGCAAGAAUGAUUCAGUCUAUGGGAUUUAGUGCGAAUGUAAAGUAGGUUAGACAGGAGUUAAGAUGCAGCCAUAGAAAGAUUUAUUUCCAGGGAGGAAGAACAUGGAUGCUGGUCAAAGACGCCACAGAGAAGAGACAGAGGAGUGUAGUACUGUCAAGAAGCAGAAGUGAACAUAAGAGGUGAAUACUGUACAGAAUAAAAGGUGAAAUUGAAGAGAAGACAGAGACUAACACAUGAAGAGGCUCUCCCCUGCUUCCCUUCAUAGGUGGUUGCUGUUGACCUCAAACCUCUUCUCUGCUGCAAAGCUGAUGCUCGAAUGUUCUGGAACAAUACAUUCUUUCUGUCAGGCUACAGCUGAAACUGCUUACUGCUCAGUGUACUACAAACACCCACUCACACACAUACACCACAAUUGUUUAGACUCUAAAACCAAGAAUAAAAGAGUGAGCACUCUGAAAAGUUAAACAAAGACCAGAUGGUUGCUCUUAUAAUGAAAGAUGUUGCCAUCUACUUCACAACGCCGGCCAAUGAGGGCCUCACGGUUAGAUGAUGAAAUAAAUUCAGAUCAUGGGAACAUUGUUCCCUAGCUGGGCAUCCUUGUUUAAAAAACUGACGGUAUGUCCACUUGCAAGUUUAAUCACAAGUUUAAUCAUACUGAACCUUAUAUUAAAUGAUUCAAGGCUCUGUAAACCAUUGUCACCAAAUAAAAAGAAGAAGCUGAAAAAUCAAUGUAGCCAAACCAAAUAAGUUGCGGUUUUCAUUCCAAUCAUUCACUCUUCUUGCCAGAACCUGGUCCUCCCAUUACCCACAAUGCAACUCAACCACUAAUAAUCAAGUUAGGGAUCUGGACGUGUCAUACUCAUGGUGGUUAAUGCAGCCACAAACCACUAGAAUAAAGCUGAUACAAGGAAAAAAGACUUCUUUUUAACCUAAGACAUAUUUUUACUUAUUUUAUCAGUUGCGAAUGAUAUUAACUUGCGUGAUUCAUGCAGCCUCUGUAUAGCGAAUUGUGGAGUCAGAACUCUGGCUCAACAAAUUAUUAUUUGAAUGUUUUUCUAAAAGCUAAUUCAAACCGAACAUCUUUGCCAAGUGUCUCUACCUGAAACUGCCAAGGAGAACUUAGUCAUUAUUUCCUGUCCUGUCCACAGGACUAUAUUAGCCUAUAAAAAUGUACUUCUCUUUCACAGUGUAUUCAUUUGACAGUCUUAACAUGUCAUUAUUAAAAUUUAUCAAACAUUGCAACAUAAACCUAGUAUUUUUUAACAUUGUAUACUGUAAACAUACAAUGGAAACAGGAUACAGACAGCAAAGAUAUGUUUUAAUAAUAGACUUAUACUUUGAGUCUAUGUUGGAUUUUAUCUAAUUAAAUAUAGGAUAAAGAUUCAGAAUAUAAUUUAAUUAAAUAUUUAUUUGAAGGUCUUUGCUCUGUUGGAAAUAGAGUACACUAGAAGUUUUAGAAGUACAGACGUAGCAGGUACGAUCUAUCCUUAUAACACAGUCAGUGGGCAUAAAUAUUCAGUGACGCAUCGACCAGGCUUUUCCUGCUCAAUACCGAUUUCCUGCUUUCUUUGCAGUCUGACCUGCCUAUUCAGAUUUUGACCGGUUCAGAUUUGCUUUUUUUCAAGGACAUUAACACAAUAAAAAUACAGAAAGAAAUGUGCUGUGGGUUCUUUGAUAGAGGUAGCAAUUUUAUUGCCAACAGUAAAUUUAGGAAUUUUAAAAUGAUACUAUUUUUUCCCCUAACCUUUACUUGAUUUUUAUUAAAACCUCCAAAGUGCAACAAAUACACGUUCUUGGUUUAUUUGUUCAGAGACUAAAAAUAUUUAGAUGCCUUUAAUGAUUACGAUAAUAAAUGGGAUUUGUUCAGUAUUUGAGCUGUCGAUCACCAGUCGGAACCUUUCAAAAGAAAACUUGUUCAUUUCUAUCCCUGGCUGACAAUUAUUUAAAAAACAACAGUGCAGCUGCAUGAAUUAUAUGUAAUAAAAUCCAGAUAUGAUGAUGUUUUUAUAUUUUCUCUCUGGAUUUUUCCUGACAGAUUAAUCAUGCAUUUUCCCUGCCAUCUAUCUGCCUAAUCCUGUAUAGAUGGCUGGAGGCACAAGUCAACAGAGGUGGAGUACACCCUGGUCGGGUUGCCAUUCCAUCACAGGGCAUGGAAACAACAGAGGAGAGAAAAACCAUAAAACCAAACUGCCAUCCCUAAGCUCCUUCUCGUCCGUGAAGAAAUGACUCUAGAGAAACUCAUAAGGAUAAAGCUGAAGGAUUGAUGCAUACGUCCAGCGUGGGACUGUUGUAAGACGGCCAGUAAAAAAAUAGCCUCAUGCGAAACUUCCUCUAGAUACGAAUAGUCUUUCCUGCUCUAUAAAUAAACACUGCUGGACUUGGAAAGCAACCAGCCUCAUUAUACUCGAAGGUUGAUCAUAAAGUCACUGGAGUAGGGAAAAAAAACAUUGCAUCACUCAUUUAAGACGAGAUAAGGCAGGCAGUUUAAAAACAGACAGACACACACACACAAACACACACACAGAUACAGCAUAAAGCAAAGUCCUAGAGUCCAAUUAAAACAAUUCAUUACACAGCCUCAUCGGUCUUUGUGUCAAGCUGAAAGCAAAACAUUCGAAAGUGUUUGGCCAGCUAAAUAGUUCCUAAGUUGAUUCCAUAAACCUGCCUGUCACCUCCAAUACCAGAAAGAAUUUAAAAACCCACUUUUAAACAUUUGCUGCUGUAAAGUUUUUCAUAAAAGAAUGUUUUAGUUUCUUCCAUUGAAACGGAUGUCAACAUCCAUCCAUCUAGCUAUCCAUCUCUUUGUGUAAAUGCAGUUCAUGUUGCUCAAAAGCUGUCAAACUGAACUACUUGUCUGCAGUAAACCAGACUUUGGCCUUUGAGUCUGACGGCUCUGCUUAGCCCAGCGAGGUUUCUUGAUUGUAGCCAUUCUUUCUUCAUCAAAUUCAUGUUCUCCACUGUUACAACUCUAUGUUAACCUUUCAUGUUACUAUCUAAAGAGUCUUGAGGCUUAAAAGUUCUUCUCCUUCAGCUUCAGCUGUGGUGUUCAGCAAACAUGUUUACAUGUGGUAGCAUGUUAAUGCCACUUUGAGGCAAGCCUCACAAUAAACGUUGGUUAAAACUGA